rnacentral:rRNA from 1 species
AGGGCGCACGGUGGAUGCCUUGGCACCAGGAACCGAUGAAGGACGUGGGAGGCCACGAUAGUCCCCGGGGAGCUGUCAACCAAGCUUUGAUCCGGGGGUUUCCGAAUGGGGAAACCCGGCAGUCGUCAUGGGCUGUCACCCGCUGCUGAACACAUAGGCAGUGUGGAGGGAACGAGGGGAAGUGAAACAUCUCAGUACCCUCAGGAAGAGAAAACAACCGUGAUUCCGGGAGUAGUGGCGAGCGAAACUGGAUGAGGCCAAACCGUAUGCGUGUGAUACCCGGCAGGGGUUGCGCAUGCGGGGUUGUGGGAUCUCUUUUUCAUAGUCUGCCGGCUGUGAGGCGAGUCAGAAACCGUUGGUGUAGGCGAAGGACAUGCGAAAGGUCCGGCGUAGAGGGUAAGACCCCCGUAGCUGAAACAUCAACGGCUCGUUUGAGAGACACCCAAGUAGCACGGGGCCCGAGAAAUCCCGUGUGAAUCUGGCGGGACCACCCGCUAAGCCUAAAUAUUCCCUGGUGACCGAUAGCGGAUAGUACCGUGAGGGAAUGGUGAAAAGUACCGCGGGAGCGGAGUGAAAUAGUACCUGAAACCGUGUGCCUACAAGCCGUGGGAGCGUCGCACAGGGAACUUGUUCCUUGUGUCGUGACUGCGUGCCUUUUGAAGAAUGAGCCUGCGAGUUAGCGGUGUGUAGCGAGGUUAACCCGUGUGGGGAAGCCGUAGCGAAAGCGAGUCCGAACAGGGCGGUUGAGUUGCACGCUCUAGACCCGAAGCGGAGUGAUCUAGCCAUGGGCAGGUUGAAGCGGAGGUAAGACUUCGUGGAGGACCGAACCCACCAGGGUUGAAAACCUGGGGGAUGACCUGUGGUUAGGGGUGAAAGGCCAAUCAAACUCCGUGAUAGCUGGUUCUCCCCGAAAUGCAUUUAGGUGCAGCGUCGUGUGUUUCUUGCCGGAGGUAGAGCACUGGAUAGGCGAUGGGCCCUACCGGGUUACUGACCUUAGCCAAACUCCGAAUGCCGGUAAGUGAGAGCGCGGCAGUGAGACUGUGGGGGAUAAGCUCCAUGGUCGAGAGGGAAACAGCCCAGAGCAUCGACUAAGGCCCCUAAGCGUACGCUAAGUGGGAAAGGAUGUGGAGUCGCAGAGACAACCAGGAGGUUGGCUUAGAAGCAGCCACCCUUGAAAGAGUGCGUAAUAGCUCACUGGUCAAGUGAUUCCGCGCCGACAAUGUAGCGGGGCUCAAGCGUACCGCCGAAGUCGUGUCAAUCCAGCAUUAAGGGCCAACGCCCGUUGGGUUGGGUAGGGGAGCGUCGUGUGCCGGGUGAAGCAGCCGCGGAAGCGAGUUGUGGACGGUUCACGAGUGAGAAUGCAGGCAUGAGUAGCGAUACACACGUGAGAAACGUGUGCGCCGAUUGACUAAGGGUUCCUGGGUCAAGCUGAUCUGCCCAGGGUAAGUCGGGACCUAAGGCGAGGCCGACAGGCGUAGUCGAUGGACAACCGGUUGAUAUUCCGGUACCCGCUUUGAAACGCCCAGUACUGAAUCAGGCGAUGCUAAGUCCGUGAAGCCGGCCCGAUCUCUUCGGAGUUGAGGGUAGUGGUGGAGCCGAUGAACCAGACUUGUAGUAGGUAAGCGAUGGGGUGACGCAGGAAGGUAGUCCAGCCCGGGCGGUGGUUGUCCCGGGGUAAGGGUGUAGGACGUUGUGUAGGCAAAUCCGCACAACACGUAGUCUGAGACCUGAUGCCGAGCCGAUUGUGGUGAAGUGGAUGAUCCUAUGCUGUCGAGAAAAGCCUCUAGCGAGUUUCAUGGCGGCCCGUACCCUAAACCGACUCAGGUGGUCAGGUAGAGAAUACCGAGGCGUUCGGGUCUCGGUGAGCUGGGGGUGGCCGCAGAGACCAGCGAGAAGCGACUGUUUACUAAAAACACAGGUCCGUGCGAAGCCGUAAGGCGAUGUAUACGGACUGACGCCUGCCCGGUGCUGGAACGUUAAGGGGACCGGUUAGCUGCCUUUCGGGGUGGCGAAGCUGAGAACUUAAGCGCCAGUAAACGGCGGUGGUAACUAUAACCAUCCUAAGGUAGCGAAAUUCCUUGUCGGGUAAGUUCCGACCUGCACGAAUGGCGUAACGACUUCUCGACUGUCUCAACCAUAGGCCCGGUGAAAUUGCACUACGAGUAAAGAUGCUCGUUUCGCGCAGCAGGACGGAAAGACCCCGGGACCUUUACUAUAGUUUGAUAUUGGUGUUCGGUUCGGCUUGUGUAGGAUAGGUGGGAGACUGUGAAGCGGCCACGCCAGUGGUUGUGGAGUCGUCGUUGAAAUACCACUCUGGUCGUGCUGGAUGUCUAACCUGGGUCCGUGAUCCGGAUCAGGGACAGUGUCUGAUGGGUAGUUUAACUGGGGCGGUUGCCUCCUAAAGAGUAACGGAGGCGCCCAAAGGUUCCCUCAGCCUGGUUGGCAAUCAGGUGUUGAGUGUAAGUGCACAAGGGAGCUUGACUGUGAGACCGACGGGUCGAGCAGGGACGAAAGUCGGGACUAGUGAUCCGGCAGUGGCUUGUGGAAGCGCUGUCGCUCAACGGAUAAAAGGUACCCCGGGGAUAACAGGCUGAUCUUCCCCAAGAGUCCAUAUCGACGGGAUGGUUUGGCACCUCGAUGUCGGCUCGUCGCAUCCUGGGGCUGGAGUCGGUCCCAAGGGUUGGGCUGUUCGCCCAUUAAAGCGGUACGCGAGCUGGGUUUAGAACGUCGUGAGACAGUUCGGUCCCUAUCCGCUGCGCGCGUAGGAAUAUUGAGAAGGGCUGUCCCUAGUACGAGAGGACCGGGACGGACGAACCUCUGGUGUGCCAGUUGUUCUGCCAAGGGCAUGGCUGGUUGGCUACGUUCGGAAAGGAUAACCGCUGAAAGCAUCUCUGGGUUGAUAGGCCAGAUGUGGAAGCCCGGUAACGGGUGGAGCUGACUGGUACUAAUAGGCCGAGGGCUUGUCCUC